AACGAACGCUGGCGGCGUGCCUAACACAUGCAAGUCGAACGAGAAAGGGGCUUCGGCUCCGAGUAAAGUGGCGCACGGGUGAGUAACACGUAGGUAACCUGCCUCUAAGAUUGGGAUAACCUGUCGAAAGAUGAGCUAAUACCAAAUAAGACCACGGCUUCCUCGGAAGCAGAGGUCAAAGGUAGCCUCUACUUGUAAGCUAUCACUUAGAGAUGGGCAUGCGUACCAUUAGCUAGUUGGUGGGGUAACGGCCUACCAAGGCAAAGAUGGUUAGCUGGUCUGAGAGGAUGAUCAGCCACACUGGAACUGAGACACGGUCCAGACUCCUACGGGAGGCAGCAGUGGGGAAUAUUGCGCAAUGGGCGAAAGCCUGACGCAGCAACGCCGCGUGAGUGAUGAAGGCCUUCGGGUCGUAAAGCUCUGUCGGAGGGAACGAAUGCUCUUGAGGUUAACAGCCUCGGGAAGUGACGGUACCCUCAAAGGAAGCACCGGCUAACUCUGUGCCAGCCGCCGCAGUAACAC
rnacentral:rRNA from 1 species